rnacentral:rRNA from 1 species
GAUGAACGCUAGCGGGAGGCUUAACACAUGCAAGUCGAGGGGCAGCAUAGGGUAGCAAUACUCUGAUGGCGACCGGCAAACGGGUGAGUAACGCGUAUGCAACCUACCCUGUACAGGGGGAUAACCCGGAGAAAUUCGGACUAAUAUCCCGUAAUAAUAUCCGGAGGCAUCUUUGGAUAUUUAAAGUUCCGACGGUACGGGAUGGGCAUGCGUAACAUUAACUGGUUGGUAAGGUAACGGCUUACCAAGGCUAUGAUGUUUAGGGGUCCUGAGAGGGUGGUCCCCCACACUGGUACUGAGACACGGACCAGACUCCUACGGGAGGCAGCAGUGAGGAAUAUUGGUCAAUGGGCGCAAGCCUGAACCAGCCAUCCCGCGUGCAGGAAGACGGCCCUAUGGGUUGUAAACUGCUUUUCCAGGGAGAGAACUUACGCACGUGUUGCGUGACUGACGGUACCCUGGGAAUAAGCAUCGGCUAACUCCGUGCCAGCAGCCGCGGUAAUGA